UCUUUUGUAAAAUAAAUAAAGUUUCGUAUAGGAUGUGUUGUUACACUACAAAUAACAUAAUGAUCAUUGUAUUUUAACAUUGUUUACAUCAAACAUUAAACAUUAAAUUGGUUUAAUGUUUAAAUUAGUUAAAGAAACUUAAAACCUAAGUUGGUAAAGAAUUAUAAAAACUAAUUUAUGGUAACUGAAGAGUGAUUGGUAUUGAUAAAAUAAAAAACUGAUAGAAAUGUUGGUUUGAUAGAAAGAGAAAUUUAUAAAAUUUCCAAAGAAAGCUGAAGAUUUCUGAAGAAAUCUGUUUUUCGACGCUAAAAAGAACCUACAAAAAAAUUAUCCAGUAUUACAUAAAAAAUUUGCUUUCGGAAUUGGGUCUUCAAGAGAGAUUAUAAAAACUAAUUUAUGGUAACAAAUUAAAUAAAAUUAAUGGUCUUGCAAAACAAUUCCAUGUAUCACAACCGUACAUAUGCAAAAUUAUUCACAAAAAAACUAAUUUUCGUUAUCUUAAAAAAACUACAACACCUAAAAGAACACCAACUCAAAAAGCAGCUGUUCGUUCAAAAUCUAGGUAAACUUAAAAAAUGGAUCGAGUUUUCAAUUAAGAAAAUCAACAUAGAACGUGUACAUCGGAUAGCAGCCGCAACAUUUACAAGAGUAGACACCGUUCGUCGUCAUGGCAUGAAAAACUUAUAACUUUUAAAAAUUUUAUUAUUUA